CUCAUCUCAUGCACUACAACAAAAUUAGAUUAUAGCGACACAUGUUUGGAACACUUUUGUGUAAGUGUUUCAUUUAUGCCAAAACAUAAAAAAAAAUCUACUAAUGCCUAAAUAUAAAGCCCAAUUCAACAAAAAAUAAAAGGUUACUCUACUCAACCCACCCUACCCAGCCCAUUCAAUCCGAUUACAAACAGAAAAGAAAAAAAAAAAAAAAAAAAUUAAUUAUCAUCUUCCUUUCUCCCCUCACUCAAUCCACUGAAAUUCUAGACGAAGAGCCCUUCCCUCUCCUCAUUCUUCGUCACCGCAACCAACGAGGUAGAGUUCCAGCAGUUGCUAAAUACUUAAAUAAGUGUUAGUAAAUUAGCAGCACUCUUUUUAGAUUAUACUGACACUCUUUAACUGUCACUAUAUACCUAGCGACCCCACAUAUAGCAAAAUUUUUUAAAAGUGUCGAUAAUUUAGCUAACAUCACUUUUUUUUAUCUAUACCGAUAUUUAAAAGUAUCCCUAUAGACCAUUUUUUUUUGUAGUGUCACUCCUGUUUAAUUUGAGAGAUUCGUCCUUUAUUAAAGUACAGCAGAUUUUUAGUAUAACAAAACAAUAGUCACCAUUCAUUUUAGCAAAAAAUAAUAUUGAGCAAACAUUCUUUUAUUUUCUCCUGCAUUAUUUCAUAUAAAAAAUUCAUUUCAAAAAUAAAAAUUUAUGUUAC
rnacentral:lncRNA from 1 species